AGCGGUUGUCUGCGGCAGCGGGCGCGUAGCAACAGGUCAGCCACACUCGUUCUAUCUCCAUCGGAAAGGAAGUGACUCGUUAAGGAUAGAAAUGGGGAGAUGACGUCUCCUCGAGUCCUCGUUUUUUGGUGCUGGUUUCUUCGUGCUCUUUGACCGAGUCUCACUCUAAGGCAGAUGGCGACCACGUGAGAGCAUGUACCGCCACCAUGGCGUGUACGCUGCGGCGUGUGUUCACGUGGACCUUCGAAGGGAUCCUGUGUACCUGCAGGUUCCUUUGGGUUUGCCCAUACAACGCAGUCCGGUUCUUACCAAGGGAAAAUCACACAAUAGCGGAAAAAGGCCGUCAUCACAAACAAUCCAUAGGUAAGAUCAAUAAGGACUUUUU